AUUGAACGCUGGCGGCAGGCCUAACACAUGCAAGUCGAACGAGUGGCGGACGGGUGAGUAAUGUCUGGGAAACUGCCUGAUGGAGGGGGAUAACUACUGGAAACGGUAGCUAAUACCGCAUACCAUCGGAUGUGCCCAGAUGGGAUUAGCUAGUAGGUGGGGUAAAGGCUCACCUAGGCGACGAUCCCUAGCUGGUCUAAGAGGAUGACCAGCCACACUGGAACUGAGACACGGUGCAGACGCCUAAGGGAGGCAGCAGUGGGGAAUAUUGCACAAUGGGCGAGAGCCUGAUACAGCCAGGCCGCGUGUAUGAAGAAGGCCUUAGGGUUGUAAAGUACUUUCAGCGGGGAGGCGUUACCCGCAGAAGAAGCACCGGCUAACUCCGUGCCAGCCGCCGCGGUAAUAC
rnacentral:rRNA from 1 species